rnacentral:lncRNA from 1 species
UUUAACAUGUGAUUGAAUUAGAUAAGGCUAUAAAUUCAUCCCAACAAGUGUAAUCAGAAAUUUAAAUUUCAAAUAUUUACAAAUUUUUAAAGAUUUAUCAAUAAUUCAAAAUGUCCUAAUUAAUAAGAAAAUAAUGCCACAUAAAAUAAAACAGAUAGAAUAUAUCAUAAUUUGCAAAAAUUAGUCUUUAGCACCUUGUAUAUGGUUUGGCGAGUCUUAUCCACAUUGGAAAAUUCAUGUAUUUCCCUGGUUAUUGUUGAAAUCCAACCUUCCUCUUCUCCCUCGUCUAUGGUUUCCAUGGCUUCUCACUUUCCCUCUUCGAAGUGUGAACGAA